AUAAGCAAAGAAAGAUACACACAUCGAGGCAAGUGGUGUAUGAAUAGCCGAGUCAGUAUCCAGGACGCGGUUAAACACGUACCAGUUUUAAGCUAAAUACAGGCCAGAGAAGAAUAAUCAAGUCGAGAGGAGUAUUUGAAGUGUGAAAAUGUCUAAAGGAGAUAUUAUAUAUGAUGUUAUUGUAGUAGGGGCUGGUAUAGAAGGGUCAUCUACAGCAUAUCAACUUGCUAAACGAGGUCAAUCCACACUUCUACUAGAACAGUUUCCCCUACCCCACAGUCGAGGCAGUUCACAUGGACAGAGUCGUAUUACACGACGAGCCUAUCCCCAGGCGAUAUAUUCUGCCAUGAUGAAAGAUAGUUUUGAAGGGUGGAAUGUCUUAGAAGAAGAAUGUGGUGAAAAGCUAUACAAUAAUUGUGGAGCCCUCUAUGUAUCCCCACCAUCUAUUCUGGAACCAGUAGAAACAGGGUUAAAGGUCAACAAAGCUCCAUACAGAGCACUCACAUUACCAGAGCUGAAAUCCGAAUUCCCUAAUGUUACAGUGCCGGAUGAUUAUGUGGGUAUUUACGACUACCAAGGUGGAAUACUCUACGCUGAUAAAUCACUGAAAGCUUUUCAGGAACAAUUUAAGAAAUAUGGUGGAACUUUACGUGAUGGUGAACGGGUUGAUGACGUGAUACCAGGAGAUAUAGUUACCCUGAGAACCACGACCGGAAAUCAGUUUAGAGGAAGAAAUGUCGUUCUAGCUCUAGGUCCAUACACCAAUAACAUACUGGCUAAAACUGGACUUCAAUUACCUCUAAAGGUCGAACGAAUAUCGGUACUGUAUUGGAAAGAAAAGGUAGUUGGGAUGCACUCAGCUGAUAAAUUCCCGUGUUUUAUUGACCCAAUUGGCUCUGAGGGCAUAUCCAU